UCGGGAAUUUGGCAAUGGCGCAAGCCUGAUCCAGCCAUGCCGCGUGAGUGACGAAGGCCUUAGGGUUGUAAAGCUCUUUUAGCGGGGACGAUAAUGACGGUACCCGCAGAAUAAGCCCCGGCUAACUUCGUGCCAGCAGCCGCGGUAAUACGAAGGGGGCUAGCGUUGUUCGGAAUUACUGGGCGUAAAGCGCACGUAGGCGGAUGUGCCAGUCAGGGGUGAAAUCCCGAGGCUCAACCUCGGAACUGCCUCCGAUACAGCACGUCUCGAGUCCGGAAGAGGUGAGUGGAAUUCCUAGUGUAGAGGUGAAAUUCGUAGAUAUUAGGAAGAACACCAGUGGCGAAGGCGGCUCACUGGUCCGGUACUGACGCUGAGGUGCGAAAGCGUGGGGAGCAAACAGGAUUAGAUACCCCUGUAGUCCCUGAGCGGGCUGGCAAGGCGCAU
rnacentral:rRNA from 1 species